AUUGAACGCUGGCGGAAUGCUUUACACAUGCAAGUCGAGCGGCAGCACGGGGGCAACCCUGGUGGCGAGCGGCGAACGGGUGAGUAAUACAUCGGAACAUGCCCAGUCGUGGGGGAUAACACUUCGAAAGAAGUGCUAAUACCGCAUACGUCCUGAGGGAGAAAGCGGGGGAUCUGCGGACCUCGCGCGAUCGGAGUGGCCGAUGUCAGAUUAGCUAGUUGGUGGGGUAAAGGCCUACCAAGGCAACGAUCUGUAGCUGGUCUGAGAGGAUGAUCAGCCACACUGGGACUGAGACACGGCCCAGACUCCUACGGGAGGCAGCAGUGGGGAAUUUUGGACAAUGGGGGCAACCCUGAUCCAGCCAUUCCGCGUGAGUGAAGAAGGCCUUCGGGUUGUAAAGCUCUUUCGGCAGGAACGAAACGGCGAGCUCUAACAUAGCUUGCUAAUGACGGUACCUGAAGAGGAAGCACCGGCUAACUACGUGCCAGCCGCCGCCGUAAUAC
rnacentral:rRNA from 1 species